CUCGUUGCUGCGUGAUGAUGAUGAUGCAACAACUGUUUCUACCCCAUACACUGCUGCUGUUUUGGAAUACCGUGUUGUAUUUUAUGAUCCUGCAAAUGCACCUGUCAAGGAUAAGAACUGGAACAAUGCAAAUGGCCACACUGUUUAUGAUGCUCAACAUCCAUGCAGGUCUAAUGUAGCUGUGAGGAAGGAGCUUCAUACUCCUGCAUCUGAUCGUUCUUGCAUCCAUCUUGAAUUUGAUAUUACUGGCACUGGACUAUCAUAUGAAACAGGUGAUCAUGUUGGUGUUUACUGCGAGAAUCUAGACGAAGUUGUAGAGGAAGCAUUGAGAUUGUUGGGGCUAUGCCCAGACACCUAUUUCUCUGUUCAUACCGAUAAAGAGGAUGGCACUUCGCUUUGUUGCAACAUUGCCAGUAAAUUUGAUGUUUGAUCUAAAAGUUUUUAAAUGCAUGUUUAUAUAUUUUGGAAUUAUGUUGCCACUAGAAUCUUGUUUUUCUCCUAUUGCCUAUUGGGAACUGAGGCUUGUAAUAGGGGGUUGACUUGUUUGUUUAUGAGGAUGACUGGAUCAAAUGCUAUAUUUGGAAGUUGUUUUGCUG